rnacentral:rRNA from 1 species
UAGAGUUUGAUCAUGGCUCAGAUUGAACGCUGGCGGCAGGCCUAACACAUGCAAGUCGAGCGGAAACGAUCCUAGCUUGCUAGGAGGCGUCGAGCGGCGGACGGGUGAGUAAUGCAUAGGAAUCUGCCCGAUAGUGGGGGAUAACCUGGGGAAACCCAGGCUAAUACCGCAUACGUCCUACGGGAGAAAGCGGGGGCUCUUCGGACCUCGCGCUAUCGGAUGAGCCUAUGUCGGAUUAGCUGGUUGGUGGGGUAAUGGCCCACCAAGGCGACGAUCCGUAGCUGGUCUGAGAGGAUGAUCAGCCACACUAGGACUGAGACACGGCCCAGACUCCUACGGGAGGCAGCAGUGGGGAAUAUUGGACAAUGGGCGCAAGCCUGAUCCAGCCAUGCCGCGUGUGUGAAGAAGGCUUCCGGGUUGUAAAGCACUUUCAGUGGGGAAGAAGGCCUUAGGGUUAAUAGCUCUGAGGGAGGACAUCACCCACAGAAGAAGCACCGGCUAACUCCGUGCCAGCAGCCGCGGUAAUACGGAGGGUGCGAGCGUUAAUCGGAAUUACUGGGCGUAAAGCGCGCGUAGGUGGCUUGAUAAGCCGGUUGUGAAAGCCCCGGGCUCAACCUGGGAACGGCAUCCGGAACUGUCAGGCUAGAGUGCAGGAGAGGAAGGUAGAAUUCCCGGUGUAGCGGUGAAAUGCGUAGAGAUCGGGAGGAAUACCAGUGGCGAAGGCGGCCUUCUGGACUGACACUGACACUGAGGUGCGAAAGCGUGGGUAGCAAACAGGAUUAGAUACCCUGGUAGUCCACGCCGUAAACGAUGUCGACUAGCCGUUGGGUUCCUCGAGGACUUAGUGGCGCAGUUAACGCGAUAAGUCGACCGCCUGGGGAGUACGGCCGCAA